CAGACGUAGCAAGAUGAUCUCUCAGGUUCAGCUUAUCUGGCUGUUAGUGCUCUGGAUCCAAGACUCCAGUGGACAGAUUGUGCUGACUCAGACUCCAGAAUCCCUGGCAGUGUCUCCUGGAGACACAGUCACUAUCCACUGCAAAGCCAGUUCAAGUCUCACCAGUGGUAGCUAUCACUUACUAGCCUGGUACCAACAGAAAUCAGGACAAGCUCCAAAGCGCCUUAUCUAUGAUGCUUCCAACCGUGGCUCUGGGAUCCCAGAUCGGUUCAGUGGCAGUGGCUCUGGCACUGAUUACACCCUCACAAUCAGCAGAGUUGAAGCUGAAGAUGCUGGAGAUUACUACUGUCAGCAGUAUCGCAGCUACCCUCUCACAGUGACUCUAGGUAUGAACACCCAGAACCCUGAUGGCCUGUCCAUGAAUGUGCUGCAGGAUCCAAGCUACAGAUGGGUCAAAGUUGCAUAUUCCAAUGGGCAGAUUGUGAUGACUCAGACUCCAGAAUCCCUGGCAGUGUCUCCUGGAGACACAGCCACUAUCCGCUGCAAAGCCAGUGCCAGAGUUUAUAGCAAUGUGGCCUGGUACCAACAGAAAUCAGGACAAGCUCCUAAGCUCCUUAUCCACAAUGCUUCCACCCGUCCCUCUGGAAUCCCAGAUCGGUUCAGUGGCAGUGGGUCUGGCUCCGACUUCACUUUUACAAUUAGCCGGGUUGAGGUGGAUGAUGCUUGA